UACGUAGGGUGCGAGCGUUUAAUCGGAAUUACUGGGCGUAAAGCGUGCGCAGGCGGUUCGUUAAGACAGAUGUGAAAUCCCCGGGCUUAACCUGGGAACUGCGUUUGUUACUGGCAAGCUAGAGUGUGUCAGAGGGAGGUAGAAUUCCACGUGUAGCAGUGAAAUGCGUAGAUAUGUGGAGGAACACCGAUGGCGAAGGCAAUCCCCUGGGCCUGCACUGACGCUCAUGCACGAAAGCGUGGGGAGCAAACAGG
rnacentral:rRNA from 1 species